GAUGAACGCUGGCGGCGUGCUUAACACAUGCAAGUCGAGCGAAGCAAUUUAAGUGAAGUUUUCGGAUGGAUCUUAGAUUGACUGAGCGGCGGACGGGUGAGUAACGCGUGGAUAACCUGCCUCACACAGGGGGAUAACAGUUAGAAAUGACUGCUAAUACCGCAUAAGCGCACGGUACCGCAUGGUACAGUGUGAAAAACUCCGGUGGUGUGAGAUGGAUCCGCGUCUGAUUAGGUAGUUGGUGAGGUAACGGCCCACCAAGCCGACGAUCAGUAGCCGACCUGAGAGGGUGACCGGCCACAUUGGGACUGAGACACGGCCCAAACUCCUACGGGAGGCAGCAGUGGGGAAUAUUGCACAAUGGGCGAAAGCCUGAUGCAGCAACGCCGCGUGAGUGAAGAAGUAUCUCGGUAUGUAAAGCUCUAUCAGCAGGGAAGAAAAUGACGGUACCUGACUAAGAAGCCCCGGCUA
rnacentral:rRNA from 1 species